UAAUAGUGCUGCAGUAAACUUGGGUGUGCA
rnacentral:piRNA from 1 species